rnacentral:sRNA from 1 species
CACCGUGUUAGCCAGGAUGAUCUCGAUCUCCUGACCUCGUGAUCCGCCCGUCUUGGCCUCCCAAAGUGCUGGGAUUACAGGCAUGAGCCACCGCGCCCGGCCCAAGCAUAGCCUUUUAAAUGAAGAGAGCGCAACCAAAGGCAUGUUGCUGGGAUAUGUGGGUCAGGAUUACGAUUUUGUUCUGUUUUUCUGCUGUGGUCUUAAAAUAGUUCAUGACAUUUUAGAUAGUCAACUCAGUCUUCAAAUUUUGGUUGCUGUGAACUCUUCCAGGCACUUUAGGGUACAAAGAUGGAAAGAUAUGGCUGCUGUCUUUCAUGAGUUAGAGGUCUAAUUUUAUACAAAAUUAUCUAAAAGUUUUGUUCCUAAUUAUGUAAUGAACACAACCUGAAUUCAACGUCUUUCUAUCACAUGAUCUUUCUUGUAGCUUGCCAGAGUGAUCUCUCGGCUUGCCGACUUUGCUAAGGAACGAGCCAGUCUACCCACAUUAGGUUUCACACAUUUCCAGCCUGCACAGCUGACCACAGUUGGGAAACGUUGCUGUCUUUGGAUUCAGGAUCUUUGCAUGGAUCUCCAGAACUUGAAGCGUGUCCGAGAUGACCUGCGCUUCCGGGGAGUAAAGGGCACCACUGGCACUCAGGCCAGUUUCCUGAAGCUCUUUGAGGGAGAUGACCAUAAGGUAGAGCAGCUUGACAAGAUGGUGACAGAAAAGGCAGGAUUUAAGAGAGCUUUCAUCAUCACAGGGCAGACAUAUACACGAAAAGUGGAUAUUGAAGUACUGUCUGUGCUGGCUAGCUUGGGGGCAUCAGUGCACAAGAUUUGCACCGACAUACGCCUCCUGGCAAACCUCAAGGAGAUGGAGGAACCCUUUGAAAAACAGCAAAUUGGCUCAAGUGCGAUGCCAUAUAAGCGGAAUCCCAUGCGUUCAGAACGUUGUUGCAGUCUUGCCCGCCACCUGAUGACCCUUGUCAUGGACCCGCUACAGACAGCAUCUGUCCAGUGGUUUGAGCGCACACUGGAUGAUAGUGCCAACCGACGGAUCUGUUUGGCCGAGGCAUUUCUUACCGCAGAUACUCUAUUGAAUACGCUGCAGAACAUUUCUGAAGGAUUGGUCGUGUACCCCAAAGUAAUUGAACGGCGCAUUCGGCAAGAGCUGCCUUUCAUGGCCACAGAGAACAUCAUCAUGGCCAUGGUCAAAGCUGGAGGUAGCCGCCAGGAUUGCCAUGAGAAAAUCAGAGUGCUUUCUCAGCAGGCAGCUUCUAUGGUUAAGCAGGAAGGGGGUGACAAUGACCUCAUAGAGCGUAUCCAGGCUGAUGCCUACUUCAGUCCCAUUCACUCCCAGUUGGAUCGUUUACUGGAUCCUUGUUCUUUCACUGGUCGUGCCUCCCAGCAGGUGCAGAGAUUCUUAGAAGAGGAGGUGUAUCCCCUUUUAAAACCAUAUGAAAGC